GACGAACGCUGGCGGCGUGCUUAACACAUGCAAGUCGAACGGAAAGGCCCUGCUUUUGUGGGGUGCUCGAGUGGCGAACGGGUGAGUAACACGUGAUUAACCUGCCCUUGACUUUGGGAUAACUUCAGGAAACUGGGGCUAAUACCGGAUAGGAGCUCCUGCUGCAUGGUGGGGGUUGGAAAGUUUCGGAGGUUGGGGAUGUACUCGCGGCUUAUCAGCUUGUUGGUGGGGUAGUGGCUUACCAAGGCUUUGACGGGUAGCCGGCCUGAGAGGGUGACCGGCAACAAUGGGACUGAGAUACGGCCCAGACUCCUACGGGAGGCAGCAGUAGGGAAUAUUGCACAAUGGACGGAAGCCUGAUGCAGCAACGCCGCGUGAGGGAUGACGGCCUUCGGGUUGUAAACCGCUUUCGCCUGUGACGAAGCGUGAGUGACGGUAAUGGGUAAAGAAGCACCGGCUAACUACGUG
rnacentral:rRNA from 1 species